rnacentral:rRNA from 1 species
UACGUAGGGUGCGAGCGUUGUCCGGAAUUACUGGGCGUAAAGAGCUCGUAGGUGGUUUGUCGCGUUGUUCGUGAAAACUCACAGCUUAACUGUGGGCGUGCGGGCGAUACGGGCAGACUGGAGUACUGCAGGGGAGACUGGAAUUCCUGGUGUAGCGGUGAAAUGCGCAGAUAUCAGGAAGAACACCGGUGGCGAAGGCGGGUCUCUGGGCAGUAACUGACGCUGAGGAGCGAAAGCGUGGGGAGCGAACAGG